GGCGAACGCUGGCGGCGUGCCUAACACAUGCAAGUCGAGCGAAUGAAGUUCCUUCGGGAAUGGAUUUAGCGGCGGACGGGUGAGUAACACGUGGGCAACCUGCCUCAUAGAGGGGAAUAGCCUCCCGAAAGGGAGAUUAAUACCGCAUAAGAUUGUAGUACCGCAUGAUACAGCAAUUAAAGGAGCAAUCCGCUAUGAGAUGGGCCCGCGGCGCAUUAGCUAGUUGGUGAGGUAAUGGCUCACCAAGGCGACGAUGCGUAGCCGACCUGAGAGGGUGAUCGGCCACAUUGGGACUGAGACACGGCCCAGACUCCUACGGGAGGCAGCAGUGGGGAAUAUUGCACAAUGGGGGAAACCCUGAUGCAGCAACGCCGCGUGAGUGAUGACGGCCUUCGGGUUGUAAAGCUCUGUCUUCAGGGACGAUAAUGACGGUACCUGAGGAGGAAGCCACGGCUAACUACGUG
rnacentral:rRNA from 1 species